UAUGGCCAUAUCUCGUUCAAACAUCGGUUCUCGUAUGUUCACCAAGUUAAGCAACAUCGAGCCUGGUCAGUACCUAGGUGGGUGACCACCUGGAAAUAUCAGGUGCUGUG